AAAAAUGAGCCCGUCAUUGUACUUUCAAACUAAGAGGCAUAAUCUCAUCCAGAGCGUGGGGAUUUACGCACAUAAUUACCAUCAAUGCUAAUGGCAUUUAUGUCUGUACAGCCCUGCACAUCAAGAUGAGAAUAUAUUUCCAUGUCUUCAUGCUGUGAAAGUACAUUUAAUAUCAUUCAUUUUACAACUGAUUUUUUAAGAUGAUGUCCACAUUCUGUCAUGGCAUACGGAUGCCUAGUUAAAAGUAAAUGGGGGAAAUAUUGGGAAGGGAUGUGAUGGCUAAACUUGUUCAUGUCGAUGAGAUAUCGCUAAACUCAAAUCCAUUCAUACUCUUUAAAUGACAACACUCUAGUCGGCUUUGAAACUGCUGGCACACUUUUCAUAGUGUUAUAAAUUUGUCAGCCUAAUGGGACAUUUUGUAGAUGUUUUCCUCUUUAAGUGCUUUAACAGGAGUAGGUAUUCCAUUGAUCCAAAAAUUCAGCUCAGCUUCUCAUUUCUGAGAGAUGAGAAUCAUACAUUUAAUGCCUUACCAGAAAUUAAGUGGUGGAUGGUGCCCUUCAUCUCUUCACGGAAAGAAAAUUCACUCUCUGCUGAACUCUGCUCUCUUUU
rnacentral:lncRNA from 1 species